AGCAGAGUGGCGCAGCAGAAGCGUGCUGGGCCCAUAACCCAGAGGUCGAAACCAUUCUCUGCUA